rnacentral:rRNA from 1 species
AUUGAACGCUGGCGGCAUGCCUUACACAUGCAAGUCGAACGGUAACGGGCCUUCGGUUGCCGACGAGUGGCGAACGGGUGAGUAAUACAUCGGAACGUGCCCGAUCGUGGGGGAUAACGAGGCGAAAGCUUUGCUAAUACCGCAUACGAUCUACGGAUGAAAGCAGGGGACCGCAAGGCCUUGCGCGGACGGAGCGGCCGAUGGCAGAUUAGGUAGUUGGUGGGAUAAAAGCUUACCAAGCCGACGAUCUGUAGCUGGUCUGAGAGGAUGAUCAGCCACACUGGGACUGAGACACGGCCCAGACUCCUACGGGAGGCAGCAGUGGGGAAUUUUGGACAAUGGGCGCAAGCCUGAUCCAGCCAUGCCGCGUGCAGGAUGAAGGCCUUCGGGUUGUAAACUGCUUUUGUACGGAACGAAAAGCCUUCUUUUAAUACAGGAGGGUCAUGACGGUACCGUAAGAAUAAGCACCGGCUAACUACGUG